rnacentral:rRNA from 1 species
UACGUAGGGGGCAAGCGUUGUCCGGAAUCAUUGGGCGUAAAGCGCGUGUAGGCGGCCAGGUAAGUCCGUUCUGAAAGCCCGGGGCUCAACCCCGGGAGGCGGAUGGAUACUGCUUGGCUCGAGUCCGGAAGAGGCGAGUGGAAUUCCCGGUGUAGCGGUGAAAUGCGCAGAUAUCGGGAGGAACACCAAUGGCGAAGGCGGCCCCCUGGCUCGUACCUGACGCUCAGCCACGAAAGCAUGGGGAGCGAACGGG